rnacentral:rRNA from 1 species
UACAGAGGGUGCGAGCGUUAAUCGGAAUCACUGGGCGUAAAGGGUGCGUAGGCGGGUCUUUAAGUCAGGGGUGAAAUCCUGGAGCUCAACUCCAGAACUGCCUUUGAUACUGAGGAUCUUGAGUUCGGGAGAGGUGAGUGGAACUGCGAGUGUAGAGGUGAAAUUCGUAGAUAUUCGCAAGAACACCAGUGGCGAAGGCGGCUCACUGGCCCGAUACUGACGCUGAGGCACGAAAGCGUGGGGAGCAAACAGG